UACGUAGGUGGCAAGCGUUAUCCGGAUUUACUGGGUGUAAAGGGCGUGUAGGCGGGACUGCAAGUCAGGCGUGAAAACUGGGGGCUCAACCUCCAGCCUGCGUUUGAAACUGUAGUUCUUGAGUGAUGGAGAGGCAAGCGGAAUUCCGUGUGUAGCGGUGAAAUGCGUAGAUAUACGGAGGAACACCAGUGGCGAAGGCGGCUUGCUGGACAUUAACUGACGCUGAGGCGCGAAAGCGUGGGGAGCAAACAGG
rnacentral:rRNA from 1 species